rnacentral:lncRNA from 1 species
GGAUUUUGCCCACACAGAUAAUAUAUCUCAAAGCUUGGAUUAGAACUCAGGUCUCCUGACUUGGAGUUUAGUGCUUUUUUCAGCACAAUCCCCUGCCUCUUAGGGCUGGAGGGUCCCUUAGGUUUCAUCUUUUCCAAUCUCCUUAAUUUGUGGAUGAGGAAACUGAGGCCCAGGGAGAGGAAGUGAUUUGCCUAAAGACAUACAGCUGGUAAGUCUUAGGUUGGUCCGGAGGACCAGAGAGUCUCCUGAUCUCACAAUGUUGGCUGCCAAUCUCACUUCUCAGGAGCAGGCCCAGGCAGCACCGGGAUAUCCUACCUGCCCAGGUACCUAGACUGGAAGAAGGCAACUAAGUCAAGAACCAGGCAGACCUUCAUUGAGGUCUGCCCAGCGUCUGUUUUAUAACCCCCAAAUUCCUUCUUGCCAUUGAGUUUGUAAACAGAAGGAAAGGGGCUUGGAGGAACAGAUCUCUGUGUUUCUCUGCUGGUUGAAAGUUGCCAUCGGGAGUAAACAAGAGGAGUUGGGAAAGCACAGCUGCCUGAUUUCCUUUGAAGAUCUCAUCAGGAUGAUUUUUGAAAGACAACUGCCAGUUGUCCUAGCCCAUCAGGCAACUGAGUCUCAUGGGAAGCAUUUGACUGAUAACGUGUUGGUUCAAUUUUUUAAAAAGAAAAAGAAAGGUAUUUUUGAAACAAGUGAUGCAUAUACUGAGAUCUGACUUGGAGAUCAAAAAGCAAGCCUAUGUGGUCAGACUACAAGACACACUGUCCUAGCUCAAAGUAAAUGGCACAAUGGAGAGAAUGAUGGGGAGUGGGACUUAAGGCCGCUGCACCAUAGAAGAAUCUGGAGCUCUCUCUGGGAAGAACAAGGCUAGACUGCCCUUGCAGAUUUAAACAAUCCAUGAUGGUCCUUGUUUCUUUCAGCCCUCAGUGGAAUUCUGGAAUGUGGGGGAU